UACAGAGGGUGCGAGCGUUGUCCGGAAUCACUGGGCGUAAAGGGCGCGUAGGUGGCUCCGCAAGUCGGUGGUGAAAGCUCGAUGCUUAACAUCGAGUCGGCCAUCGAAACUGCGGGGCUCGAGCACUGUAGGGGCAGAUGGAAUUCCGGGUGUAGCGGUGGAAUGCGUAGAGAUCCGGAAGAACACCGGUGGCGAAGGCGGUCUGCUGGGCAGUAGCUGACACUGAGGCGCGAAAGCGUGGGGAGCAAACAGG
rnacentral:rRNA from 1 species